rnacentral:tRNA from 1 species
GCCCUCAUAGCUCAACGGAUAGAGCAUCGGCCUUCUAAGUCGAGUAUCUAGGUUCGAUUCCUAGUGAGGGCG